GUUUUGAUCCAUCUACCAAAAUAUAUUUAUUACAAACAUUAUCUACCAAUCAGAUGAGCACAUGACUUCAGUUUUACACAUAAAGCUCUCCAUCAUAUGGACGGUCCCUGAUGACGUAUAUUUAUUUACUGAAUUUACCCCUGAAAACUAUGAUGAUUUUAUUGUAAAGGUACUGAUAGGUUAAGCGUUCAGGAAAUUUAGUAUUUUUUCAUAUGUUACCAUCUGUUGUUUGUCUUUUUGUUUUUCUCUGGCAGUGACGAUAUAUUUUCAAUUUAUGAGUUUCAACGGCCCUUUUGGUUGUGUUGCGCCUCACUUUUUUUAUAAUUGAUGAACCCAAUAUAUUUUCUUACUAAAAAUUUGAAGGGGACAAGUAUCAGUGAAAACAUAUUAUGAGGCAUAAUAGCUCUCUAAUCAUAUAUUGCAAUCUUUCGAAUGUGUAUAUCGUCCUGAAUAGGCAUGAAAUAUUUGCCACUGGACAUUAAACAACCAACAAUCAAUCAAUCGAAUGUGUAUCAAACGUUUUCAAUAAAGAAAAAAUAUAACCGACAUUGCUGAAUAAGUAAUCAUAGAUACCACGUGUUAUAUUUACGGUAGACUCGUUGAACGGCCUAGAAAGUACUGAAAGGCCAAAAAAGUAUGAAGUUGGAGAGAUUCAUAGGGUCCUAAAAUUUUAAAUGAGGUUCUAAAUGCUCCUAAGGUAAUUUAUUCAUGGGGUAGAAACAUACUGCUAUAUCUAUUGUGUUUCAAAACAUUCACAAACGCUGCUUUACAUAGGCAUUCCUUUGUGAAUUAAAAGCAACCCACAACUUUAUCAAAAAGACUUUUAAAUAAUAAAAGUUCGUAUAAUAAAAACAUUUAGUUGACAAUAGAAUAUGAAAAGGUCCAGGAUAUGUAGUAGAAUAAAACAUAGAGGUAACAGUAGUUUACCGAAUUCCAUUAAAGAAGAGACAACUCAAGGCUACAAACGUUUUUAUCUACAGUCCGUUUCUAUGUAUGUUGGCUUUAGCUUUUGUUGUAAUUGAGUGUUCUUCUGUUCGUUUAUUUCCCUCUUAUAAUUAAGGUGUUUCCGUCGAUUUUAAUGUGUUACCCAGUUUUGUUUGCGCUUAUAAUAUUAUGACUAUUUGUUCUUUCAAAGAUAUUUUCUGGAUUAACCUUCACCAGGAACACUGAAACAUAAACAUUUAUCGGCUAGGAAUAAACUAAAAGGAUCCGAAACAAAAGGCCUCAUUCAUCCACGGCGUACUUUGCUAGAGGGUGUUUAAUCCUUAUUUUCUAAGUCACUGAAGUUGAGCAAAUUUAACGGGAGGUAAACAUGUGAAUAUCAUUCAUACAAAAAAGUGCAUCAUGUACAUUGUAAGUGCAAUAUCCGGUUAACGACUUUUCUUAGUGAAUAUUGGUCUGAUGUGAUAAAUUAUAUUUAUCAGUUGACAAUUCAUCAUACAUGGUUUUAAACCACUUUUCAAUGUCAACGGUAAACCACUGGACUAUUUAUCACUGAGCUUAAAAAUGACUAAAAUCAACAUCCUGUCACCAACGGAAAAUAUAAAGAAAAAAAUCCUAACAAUAUGUACACCCUUAGUAAAUUCGUAUGUUUUUAACAUAAUUACUAGUAUAUAAACUGUAGCAUGAGCAGGCCAGAGAACCCAUUCCUCCAAUGCAAAAUUGCAGUAAAAGAAUACACAUUUCAUCAUCAUUCCAGGGGACACAUAUUCUGUCAGUUUGCAAAACAUAACAGUUCGAGCUUAAAACUGUAAUAUGAUUUAGUUUGAAGAAAAAACGUGUAAACUGUUCAUACUUGUACCAAAAUAUGACUAAAGAUCUCCAUCUAAUAUCAGGAAUUGGCGUUUAUUCAUAAAAAUCAUAAAGGUUUUUUUUAUAUAUUGUAAACAAUUGUCUUUUCAAUUGCAAUUUUGCCGUCUCCCUUUUUUCCCACUGAUCGAUAAUAAAAGAGAUGAAGCCCAGAUCCUAUGUCCAAGUCAGGUCACAUGUCCAAGGUCAGAUUCUAUACAUAUUAUUGACUCUUAUUUUUUGUACCAAUUUGCAAAUUUGGUGAACUAGUCCAUCUAUAGAUAGGUGUUUUAGGAUAAACUCAUCAAUGAAGUGUCCAGUCAUUGUUUUGAAAAUUCCUUUGAUGACACUGAUAGGUGAUUAAAAAUCAGUAAUACUUAUAACGGCAAUCAUCUUUAUCACACACAUCUUCAAAUAGACUGUCCCAAUGCAAAUUAAAAACGUAAGCUCCGCCCGAUCAGUUGAAAUAACAUUGGUAAUACAAACUAGAAAUAUGGUUAUGCAGAUUUUUACUCGCGGUGAGCCCGAUUUGUAAUGUAGGUGUUGUUUGUAAAGAACCAAGCCACGCAAGUAAGAAAAUGGAAUUUCAAACCAGAUGUCUCGCUGUAUAGUGAAAGUACCAAGCUAAUAUAGCAGUUAAAAUGCAAUACAUCAAACUGAUGUCAUAUAAGAGGGAUAACGAC
rnacentral:lncRNA from 1 species